CACGAACGCUGGCGGCGUGCCUAAUACAUGCAAGUCGAGCGCAGGAAGCCGUCUGAACCCUUCGGGGGGACGACGGUGGAAUGAGCGGCGGACGGGUGAGUAACACGUAAAGAACCUGCCCAUAGGUCUGGGAUAACCACGAGAAAUCGGGGCUAAUACCGGAUGUGUCAUCGGACCGCAUGGUCCGCUGAUGAAAGGCGCUCCGGCGUCGCCCAUGGAUGGCUUUGCGGUGCAUUAGCUAGUUGGUGGGGUAACGGCCCACCAAGGCGACGAUGCAUAGCCGACCUGAGAGGGUGAUCGGCCACACUGGGACUGAGACACGGCCCAGACUCCUACGGGAGGCAGCAGUAGGGAAUCUUCCACAAUGGACGAAAGUCUGAUGGAGCAACGCCGCGUGAACGAUGAAGGCUUUCGGGUCGUAAAGUUCUGUUGUAAGGGAAGAACAAGUGCCGCAGGCAAUGGCGGCACCUUGACGGUACCUUGCGAGAAAGCCACGGCUAACUACGUGCCAGCCGCCGCCGUAACAC
rnacentral:rRNA from 1 species